GCUGGCGGCAUGCCUUACACAUGCAAGUCGAACGGUAGCACGGGAGCAAUCCUGGUGGCGAGUGGCGAACGGGUGAGUAAUACAUCGGAACGUGUCCUGUAGUGGGGGAUAGCCCGGCGAAAGCCGGAUUAAUACCGCAUACGCUCUACGGAGGAAAGGGGGGGAUCUUCGGACCUCCCGCUACAGGGGCGGCCGAUGGCAGAUUAGCUAGUUGGUGGGGUAAAGGCCUACCAAGGCGACGAUCUGUAGCUGGUCUGAGAGGACGACCAGCCACACUGGGACUGAGACACGGCCCAGACUCCUACGGGAGGCAGCAGUGGGGAAUUUUGGACAAUGGGGGCAACCCUGAUCCAGCAAUGCCGCGUGUGUGAAGAAGGCCUUCGGGUUGUAAAGCACUUUUGUCCGGAAAGAAAUCCCCUGCCCUAAUACGGCGGGGGGAUGACGGUACUGGAAGAAUAAGCACCGGCUAACUACGUGCCAGCAGCCGCGGUAAUACGUAGGGUGCAAGCGUUAAUCGGAAUUACUGGGCGUAAAGCGUGCGCAGGCGGUUCGCUAAGACAGAUGUGAAAUCCCCGGGCUUAACCUGGGAACUGCAUUUGUGACUGGCGGGCUAGAGUAUGGCAGAGGGGGGUAGAAUU
rnacentral:rRNA from 1 species